GACCUUUCUAAUUUUUUCUACAGCUCCAAGUUCAGCAGUAAGAUCAAGUGUGUGAAUAGUCUGCGGGAGCUUGGAGAAAUCAUCCCAACCGAGUACCUUCACAUUCCACCCAGCAUCAUCAAAGCCGACAAGAAGGGGAACUCGGCCGUUUGACAGAAACAAGAUACCUGACUCCUGCCUACUUUCUCCCUGCAUUGUGCUGUAUUCUACCACAGCAUGACUGAAUAUGAGCGGCCCUGCAGCAUGAUGAUCGCGGCACUAGCAACAGGCUGGAUAAGAAUAAGCUGUGGUACAAAACAUCAGGCGACGGCUUGUUCAGUGAGGGAGGUAUUAUCUCCUCUCACUGGGUGCUAAACAUAAUCCUGUAAGUACAAUGACUGUCACUGUUCUGUACUACUGUAUGUUAAACAGCACUUGAUUGUGUUCCCCAUUUAUUAGUUUCUUGGAGGUUUUCUUCAUUUUUGAUUAAACUGUUUUAUUCUUCUUUAAUUCACUUUGGAGGAAUAACUAAGAGGCUUGGUAAAAACACAGUAAUACGACAUAACAGUAGUUGUAACACUGCCCAUCUGCUCACAAAUACACAUUUUACAUACAUACACAUAUUAUACUGUACUGUAGCUUUGUCAAUAAACUGUAACAUUACAGGAAAUAGAAAAUCUAAUUUCAGACACUCAAGGUUUACAAAUGUAUGACCCACAGUUACAAACUGCAGGCUUGAAUUGGAAUUUUAAAUGUCCACACAUUUAAAAUUCCACCUCAGGCCUGCAGUUUGUAAAGAUAUGAAACAGAACUUAACGCUGCUUUUUGAAUAGUUUAUUAUAUAGGUAUCACAUCCUAAACUUGUCUUAUAAAGGCUACGAAUUGGCUUUUCUGUUAGCAUUGUAUAUCACUGUGAACAUUCUGGGGAUGUCAUACAGGCAGUUCCCAUAGCUGCAGUAAUUUGUUGCAUAACUUCAGUUGCAUCCUCUCCGAUUACUCUGAUCUGAUUACUCACUCAGAUAUAGAACUGUGUACUAAUGUUAUUUUAAUCAUAUUUGUCGUGUGUGUGUGUGUG